rnacentral:lncRNA from 1 species
AGGAUGUCCACACGACACAUAUAGCGACAAAUAUGGAGAAUAUCAAGAACAAUGCUUUAUUAUAUAUUGGAACAUAGUUACAACAUGGCUUACAUCUAUUACAAAGCAUAGUGGAAACUAAUCCUAAUCUUCACUUUGGGUCUCCAUUUUCCACAAGGACGGUUGGCUGGGGGUACACUCGCCUAGUACUCCUGGAACAUCUCAGGGAACUCUUCCUUUGUAUCACCAUCAGGUACCCAUCUGGGAUUUUUGAUUGUUGAAUGUAAAGCAAGUGUGAGCGCACCAUACUCAACAAGUAUGACAUGAGGGGAAUGCAAGGCUUAAAAGGCUUGACUUGGUUUGACUGCGAUAAGCAUUUUUAGUUGGUCAUAUUUUAUUAUUAGACCUAUGUUUCUAGGUUAUGCUUAAGCUCCCAAGGUGAUAAGUAUAAUUAUCAUCAAAAUUAAUCAUCAACCCAAACCAUCCAUUGAACCAUCUAUCUCGAAAAGGAUCCAGACCGCUCUUGAGCGUGAGCAUGGCUGAUAUAUCCGUUUUUAUAACUCUGCAGAGUAUGUACAUCUUUACCCAUGAGUCGUGAUUGCCCUUUGCCCGAGGGGGCCAACCUCUUGACUCACUUCCAAUGUAAGUCGGCAGGGAUCACUACGUAACCUUUCACUAGACACCUUAACUAGUUAGUGGCCGCGAGGUUUCAGCGGCAAGUGUGCGUAGAGACCUCCUCCAAGAGGCACAUGUGGUCGCGGCACUGUACACACCAAGGUACGAGCAAAACUAUACACCACAAGGCACCCCCCUCUUGCGCCUUUCGGUAACCACUAACAAGCUAGAGACAUACUAGAUACUUGAUUAAGAUCAGAGCCAUGUGAUUCUCAUGAUUGUACUAUAAGUUCUGGGUUGCCGCUUUAAGAUUCAGUCCUUACGGAGGGCAGACUAGAGCACCCAAAAAGGCUCAAUGCUCUAGCCCCCUUAUAUCCAUGUUGCUAGAAAGCAUCAUUAUAUAUUGAUUCCAUAAUCCAUUAGUCAAGAUUCACUUUAUAUAGUUGGUUGAUUGCAAGCUAAGCCAAACUAACCAUAUGCAUAACCCAAAGGUAACAAGGAAUACAAGUUAACAAAGGUUCUAUGUAUAGUCCUUAUAGGUUCAUCAUUUUAGACACAUGCAUAUGAAAACGUGAUUAAAUGGUUAUUGGGUAACAAGGGAACUCAUGUUACACUUGCCUCAAAUAGUGCUCAAACUUGUCCAACUUUCCUUUUGAAUCAUCCUCGCAUAUCUCCUCUUUUAUAGAUCACAACAACCAGCACAAGCACCAUAAAAGAAACCUAAAAACAAUACAUCAAGCAUUAUAAAACAAGACUUUAAGGUUUUAAACACGCAAGGCAUGCAACUAUGAGCAUUUGAGCGCAUAAACAACUAAAUGGAACUAUGGUUUAAAAGACGAUGAAAGUUCAAAGGUAGAAGUUGGAAGGUUUGCUAAAUGAUAGGAAUAGAAUAGACAUUGUGAAGGAUGAAGUAAGCAUAUGAAAAUUCAAGAGCUAGGUAACAAGAGAUGCCUAUGAGAGCCCGAUGAGAUGGAACAUAUACAUGGCAAGGGCUACACAAUAGUGAGAUGGUAUGGUGAGAUACUAACAAGAA